UCACAGCCAAGAGGUGGAUGGCAAAGACUGGUGACUGACAGCCAGCAGGCUGGCAGCAGAGACUUGCGAUGAGAAGCCAGCUGGGCAGAUGUAUAGACAGGAAGACUGCAGCUAAAUGAAGAGCAUCAGAUACUCGUUUGUGCUGCUCCCGCCCUCUCCUCCGAGCGUUUCCCUUUGCCACCUAAACUGGGAUGUCUGUGAGGGAGUCCACCACACCCUGCGGAUACAAUGGUGCUGGAUAUAUGGGAGGUACAGGACAUUGGCAAGAGAGCACCGCUGCAUUCUGCAGAAUGAUCGGGAGGAUGAGAAUGGCUGCUUGCCUUCUGGUCAUGGACAGGAAGAGAUCGUCCA